rnacentral:rRNA from 1 species
UAAAGUCUAAUCUGCCCACUGAUAUAAUAUUAAAGGGCUGCAGUAUUUUGACUGUACAAAGGUAGCAUAAUCAUUAGUCUUUUAAUUGAAGACUUGUAUGAAUGAUUGGAUGAAAUAUAAACUGUCUCUAAUAUUAUUAGUUAGAAUUUAAUUUUUUUAUUAAAAAGUAAAAAUAAAUUUAAAAGACGAGAAGACCCUAUAGAGUUUUAUAAUUAAUUUAAUUGAAAUUAUUUAUAAAGAUAAUUUUAAAUUAAUAAAUUAAAAUUAAGUUAAUUAUUUUGUUGGGGUGAUAAAAAAAUAAAAAUAACUUUUUUUAAUAAAUAUAUAUAUAUAUAUAUAUAUAUAUAUUGUAAACAAAAAUAAAUGAUUUUUUGAUCCAGAAUUUUUGAUUAUAAGAAAAAAUUACCUUAGGGAUAACAGCGUAAUUUUUUUUUUUAGUUCAAAUAAGAAAAAGAGUUUGCGACCUCGAUGUUGGAUUAAGGAAAAAUUUAAAUGCAAAAGUUUAAAAUUUUG